AUGACCGAAAUUAACGCUGAGAAGAUGGGUAAUUUGGUGUAUCGAGCCAACGGCUUUUACCCUGCUGAGAUUUACUUUGGUUGGAUGGCCAAAAACACACCUUUGAACUUAGAGUACAGGUGCCAUGUGGAGAUCAACAAGGGAAAUGGCCCUAGCUCCAUUACCAAAAUCACUGUAUUACUUAGGAAUCCAUUGGUUGAAGAAAUCUGGAUCAAGAGAAGUGCCACUCUGGUUUGCGAAGUGCUUUCUACAGAUUCUGCUGGGGUAGUCACCUCUUGGAUGGUGGAUGGAAAGUUAAGGAAUGAAGGCGUUCAACUGGAAGCAGCUAAAAUUGAUGGAAACCAAUAUCUGACCAUCAGCCGCUUGACCAGUAGCGUGGAGGAGUGGCAGAGUGGGAUAGAAUACACAUGCUCUGCAAAACGGGAUCAAACAUCGACCCCAGUAUCAAAACGAACAAGAAAGACAAAAGUCGAACCAACUAAGCCACAUCUCCGCCUCCUGCCCCCAUCACCAGAAGAGAUUCGAAACACCAGCUCUGCUACUCUUACAUGUUUGAUAAAAGGAUUCUAUUCUAACAAAAUAAGCAUUUCCUGGGAGAAAGACGGAGCUUCUGUGACUGCGAACAUCACUAACUUCCCCACUGCUCUGGAAUAUGACCUGACCUUCAGUGCACAGAACCUCCUCAUUUUACCUAUACUGGAAUGGAAGAGCGGAGCAAAAUACACCUGUACUGCCUCACACCCACCUUCACAAUCCACUGUGAAGAGAGUCAUAAGGAACUUAAUAGACGAUUGCAGUCGUCCAGACAUCUCUGUCAAUCUACUGAAACCUCCGUUUGAAGAGAUCUGGACACAAAAUACAGCGACUAUUGUUUUCAAAAUCGUUUAUAGUGACUUAGAAAAUAUCAAAGUUUUCUGGCAAGCGAACGGGACUGGGAGAACAGAAAGAGUCGAGACGCAGAAUCCUGAGUGGAGUGGAAGUAAAUCCACCAUUGUGAGCAAACUUAAAGUCAAGGCUUCGAAGUGGGACAGUGGUGCCGAAUACACCUGCUUGGUAGAAGACAGUGAAUUGCCAACACCAAUGAAAGCCUCUAUCAGGAAGGUAAAUGUCAGUGAAUUCCAUCAUCCUAAGAUUUAUGUCCUACAUCCAUCGACAGAUGAGAUUGACACUGAGAAUUCAACUACACUGGUGGGUCUAGCCAUCGAAUUUUACCCCGCUGAGAUUUACAUUGGUUGGAUGGCCAAUGACAUCCUUUUGGAUUCCGGGUACCUGACCCAACUGGAGAGCGAGAAGGGGAAUGGUUCCAGCUUCAUCGUCAGCAGAUUGAGACUCACAGCGGCAGAAUGGAACAGUGACACCACUGACUCCUGCUUACUGGGGCACCCAUCACUCAGCCGGGAUUUAAUCAGACGUACAAAUAAAUCUCACGAAACCCCUGAAAUAAUUGAACAUCCAGGAGACAAUGACGUUGAAGAAUACGAACUAGAAAAAGUUGGUGAAGGUGCCAACAGCUCAUUAUCCGUAAUGGCUUUCUUUAUCCUGUUUAUUCUCAGUAUGCUGUACAGCACAUUUGUAACUGUCCUUAAAGUAAUAACACAUUUCAAUCGCAAUGUGACAUUGUGUGAGCCCAUUACAUUCACAGAUGAGGUGUCGCUAAGCGGCACAUAA